CCUACGGGACGCAGCAGUGAGGAAUAUUGGUCAAUGGGAGAGAUCCUGAACCAGCCAAGCCGCGUGAGGGAAGACGGCCCUAUGGGUUGUAAACCUCUUUUGUCGGAGAACAAAACCCGGGACGAGUCCCGGACUGCGUGUAUCCGAAGAAAAAGCAUCGGCUAACUCCGUGCCAGCAGCCGCGGUAAUACGGAGGAUGCGAGCGGUAUCCGGAUUUAUUGGGUUUUAAGGGUGCGUAGGCGGGUCGUUUAGGCAGCGGUAAAAUUG
rnacentral:rRNA from 1 species